rnacentral:lncRNA from 1 species
CUGUUCUUAGCCUCUUGUAUUCCAGACCUUUACCCCAGUUCUCAAUCAACGAUGCACAAUUCCCUACAGUAUACACUGCCCUUCCAGAAGGCCAAGGAGAUGGGUCCAUAGCAGGGGACUCUUCACAGAUAAUGGGGAACUGAAAGUGGAUCAGAAAGGGAAAACACCUGGUAAGCAUAUUACAUUCCAUCCCAUUUAAUGCAGGAAACACUAUUUCUUUAUCCUUAAGCCUCCAUUAUCUUCCUUGGUCCCCAGUACAUGGAAGAGACUGCAUAAACCUCCAGCCAAUGACUUGGUAAAUAAAUGAAUGAAAGAAGAAAGUGAGUGCUUGAGUUAAUGAGUAAAUGAAUGAACCAUCUAGAUGAGAAAAUGACUGCUGAAAAACACAAAGGGAAUUGCAAAACUUUGACAACACAUACAAAAAUCUGGAUGAAUUCUAUGACGGAGAAAGAUCAUCUCUUUAUAUAAUUUCCAUUGAUACAGAAUGUCCUCUUCCAUUUUUUAUUCUCCAGAACUCUAUAAAACAAGAACACUAUAAAUGAAUUAUUAAAAUAAUUCAUUUAAGGUAAUCUUUAAAAUUUAAAUGUUUUAAUAAAACAUUUAAAGUAAUUUUUGUAUGAUUUCUUUCAUUUCUCUAGCUACUAGAAUCUUUUUUUCCUCAGAAACUAUUUUUCAUUCGUAUUCUCUCAAGGAUCCCAUAUAUGGUUACCACCUUGCCUCGUCAUCACCAAAUUCAUUGAGACCUUGGUAAGGAAAGAGGCAAAUGGAAAUAAGAGAAAAAAAGAAGUGAGGAGAGGUGUUCUAGAUGCAGACAACCUUGCAGUCCUGAGUCCUGGGUCCACCAUUUAUCAGAACAGCUUUGCACAAGGUACUUAGCCUCUGGAUUAUAAUGGAACUUACCUGUGGGCAUGAUUAUGAGUAAUCACAUAAGGAAAGUACUUUGCAUCCUUGUUACCAUAUAGUUAAUGCUGAAUUUUAGUUAUCAUAUUGUAUUGCUAUAUUACUGUAUUAUAUUACAGCAUAUUGUAUAACAUCAUAUCAUUUCAUAUCAAUCAUAUAUGAUAUAUAUAAUUUUAUAUAGCAGUAUUAUACAUAGCAGUAUUAUAUAGCCAUUAUCUAUAAUAUAUAGGAUACAUAUUAUAAUGUAAUAUAUUACAAUUUACUACUUAUAGACAUUAUAUAUGUGUGUAUAUGUAUAAUUUCCAUAUAUGUGUUAUAUAUUACAUAUGCCAUACAGUAUAUAGCCAGCAGUGUAUUGACUAUGGCUUUGUUAAACACGUUUCUGAAUGUGUUGACCGAAGUCACAUAUUCCAUAUAGCUCUCCUCCAGUCAGCUCCUCUUUUUCUAUCCAGACUCAGACCAUUCUUUACUGCUCUCUUCUGUGUACUCUGAAGGUAGAAUCCGGGCCUCCACUUGGUUUUCCUCUGAAACAAGAAGGUAGCUGAACCAUUCUGACCUUCUCAAAGUGUGUCUCCUUCCUUCUCAUUCAGGAGAAGUCAACUGAGUACAGAGUCCUGAUAUGAGCCUUGCCUUUAGGGGAGGAAAACCACUUCCAAUCUCUUUGGUUCACCUGAAUUUCACCCUUUCCCUCCAGCAUCCCAAACUCCCACUCACUCACCUCAACAAGCCAGGUUUUGGAGUUGGUUGGAUGGUUACAGUUAUUAGAGCUCAAAGGUAAGUUCAGAGUUGAAUCUGGCUGCUCAUUUCACUCCCUCCACCGAGGCAGUCCAGGUCAGGGCAGUGGUAGGGAAAGGCCAGGGGUUUAGAGUAGCCUUCACUCGUCAGGAAGACAUGAUAUCAAGUUAGAGAAAAUAAAAUACGUUGACACAUAUAACUAUAUGCUCAAUUCUGAGCAAUCACUGUUGGUUGAUUUCUUCUCUCCUUUUCAUCUUCUUUAGGUUCUAGGAUCCCUAUUUUAUAGGGCAUGGCAACAUGCUAAAGGAGGAUGGAGCCCUUCCCCCAGCCAGAAGGAAUGGAGGGUAGUCAGCUUAUGUCAAGCAUGUAAAUUUUAUUUUCCUUUCCCCAUGAUUGCUUUGGGAAUGGGAAAGGGACCCAGUUCUGAGUAAUAAGAUCAAAUGGACAGUCUAGUGGUGGGUUCGACUCAGAAGCUUUUUUGUUUCCUGCUAUAAAGAGAAGCAGCAAGUUCCCUCCUCCAUGACUUAAAUGCAAUUAUGUAUGAAUGUGGUACCUGGAGCUGCAACAAUUAUUUUGUGAUCAUAAGCCAACAAUCCAAAGAGCAAAAGUAGAACAAUAACAGAACGUGGAGUUUUUGAUGAUAUUAUUGAAUUGUUGAAUUAAUUUAGAAUAAUCUAUAUCUAGACUUUCCAUGAUUUGUGAGAUGAUUAAAAUUUUCUAUUGUUGUAGCCAGUAUUUUUCUCUUACAUGCAACCAAAAACAUCUUGUGUCAUAUAAACACUAUCCAACUUGUGUUGUAAUUUGUCCAUUUUCACAUUUGUAAGUUCUAUUUUUAUUGAUUUUUGUAUUCCUAGCACUGAGUAUAAGACUGGCACUUAGUAAGACUUUAACAAUUGAUUGAAAAGGUGUUAAAUGCAGGAUUCAAUUUUAGGUUCUGUGAAACUCUGAUUGUCUCAUUUCAAAUUCAUUUCUAUUACUAGGAAAAAAGAAUUAUUGAGAAGCACUAUGAAAAAUGUCCACAAUAAAAACAUACAGUGUUACCUGUCAUAAAUAUAUAAAUAAUUACUGGUAUAGUAGCUACUGCUGAGAAAUGUCUCUUGAAGAUUCCCAGAAAUUCCUGUCAGUCACAUUAAGACCUGUCUCUGGUGAUCAUUCCUUCUGGACCCAAAUCAGUGUACAUAGCCAUGGAGUAUUUAAAGUGAUAUUGCUCUAGAAAACCUAGGAUGUGUGUUUUGUACAUUUAGUAAGGAUUUCUUUAAUAUCUUCUACUUACCAGGCACUUCAUUAAGCACUGGGGAUGAGAAAUGAACCACCACUCGGCCCUUAUCCAUGAAAAGCUUAAGUGCCAAUACAAAGCUACUGACCUACAUGGAAGUGGUCACAAAUCUCAUGCCCAGUCCUCUUAGAAUAGCAUGGUGUUACCACUGAGUUAACUAAGAAAACCGAAUUCUUAGGCAUUUAUCUUUGACGAUGUUCACAAAAUGGUGAAAUGGAAAUUUCCCAGGCUCAGCCUUCCUGAGCCGAGUCUGUUUUGGAAGGUGACUUUCUGCUGUAGUUGCACUCAGCCUUCAACAUGAACCUCUCAUCCUCUAGAGGCACUCCUAGCCCAGAGUGUGCCCUCUGCAUGGUUCUCCCAGAAUAGCUAUUCCAAGAGGAAAAGGGGUUUGGGUGAAUAUUUGAGAAGAUUAUGGGUAGUGCCUAGCUUCCCUACCAAUCAGCACAUACAAAGAAAAUACCAAUCCGAGCCCAUUCUCCUCCUAGCCAACCAAAGGAGGCCAGAGCUCUUGUGCUCAGCACCAUUGGUUCCCCAGGCUCAAGAGCUCCUCUCAGUCCCACAUGGAGUUUAAGUGCACAAAAACACCAAACUUAGAACUAUUAAUUUCCUCACUAAUCUGCCUUUUGUAGAAAUUGCUGGAAACUGGCUUUUCUAUCCCUCUCCCCUAACAUGAGCCUUCCCACCAUCCCUUAAAGACAUUUUUCUCUUCUCUCCUGUCAUUAAGCUUUUAGAGAUGUCCUGGCCUUCUGCUAGUUGCUCCAGUUGUAUUUUUUCUCCUUGAAGAGGCAUGGAUACCAAAGCCUUACUGGGAAUGAAUCCUAGUUCCUCCACUGAACAGCUGUCGGAUUCAAGUUAGGAUCACUCCCUGUGGCUCAGUUUCUACAUCUAUAAAAUGGAAAUUUACCACCUUUGCUCUCAGAGUUCCCAUCUUGGGCUUCCAGCUUGCAUCCUUGACCCCUUCUGAGCUGACCUCCUACAGUCACCCUUCACCACACAGACUCAUGUUUGUGGAACCACCAAGUGUAACCAUCGCUAUAUUCAAGACUCAUCUGCACCUGGUUUAUGGGAAAAAAGUUUGUGGGGAAAAAGUCUUAAAACUGUGUAUGUACUAUAUGUGCCUUUUUAUGUACAGAUGUUACACUUCAAU